ACUCAACACAAAUUAAUUCAAAAGGGUAAGUAUAGACACUAGAGCGUGCUGGCUCCAUGUAAGCCCAGAUUCUCGACUGUUUAUUUAGCCCUAAACCUUUUUAAAUGGAGUUU
rnacentral:sRNA from 1 species